rnacentral:rRNA from 1 species
GACGAACCGAGCGAACGUUGUUCGGAAUCACUGGGCUUAAAGGGCGCGUAGGCGGGUGAUCAAGUCCGGGGUGAAAUCCUCCAGCUCAACUGGAGAACUGCCUCGGAUACUGGUUGCCUCGAGGAAGGUAGGGGUGUGUGGAACGUUCAGUGGAGCGGUGAAAUGCAUUGAUAUUGAACGGAACUCCGGUGGCGAAGGCGACACACUGGACCUUUUCUGACGCUGAGGCGCGAAAGCUAGGGGAGCAAACGGG